ACCCAAAAUUGGGUCGAACAGCUUUUCUCCCAACUCUGCCUUCAACAAUGCGAGUUGCGGACGGCCUUGCCCUGCGCAGGCUGCACUGUGCUACCGGCUGCGCGACAGCCUGCCCUGCUCGACCCCGCUUUGGCGGUCGUGCAGGGCCGCCUCACACUCAUCGUGAGCAACGAGCAUGCAAGGCUGCCUCACGCUCGUCGCGAGCAGCGGGCGGCCCACCCUUCUCCACUCCCCGUCUCUUUAAUUCAUGGUCGGAAUCUCCUCCUCUGAGGAGGUGGAGGGGGAGGCUCCGACGCUGCUUCUCUGUAGGCAUUCCCCUCCACUUCUGAGCUCAGCUUCUCCAGCUCCAUCAAUUCUUCUUCUUCUUCUUCUUCUUCUUCUUCUUCUUCGAGAUCUAAGCUUGAAUUUCGGUAGCCAAAAACACAAGGAGCAGUUGAGAGGAAGUGCAAAGGAGGAGAAGUGGGAGUUGCGUUGCGAUUGAGAGCAAAGGAGUAAGAAAGGGAUUCACUUUUUUGACUUGUAAAUGACUUUUGACGUGCUCUGCUCGCUCUUGAUGCGCUUGUGAGGCUUGGGACGUGAACUUGCAGCAAGAUGGUGAUUGUCGCCUAGAAGGAGAUUGGAUUACUGCUAGUUACAAGUUAUUUGCCCUUCUCCACCUUCGCCUACAAACCCUUAAAUCCCUUCCCCAUCGACAAGACCGUCCAAUCCCUCUUCCAACGCCGAUGCCACCCCGCACAAAGUCUCUUACCGGAAAAGGCAGGGCGAGGACGGCGGAGAAGAGAAAUCUCUUCUUAAAACGGACAAGCAUUAUGCUAGCGGCCUCCACCCCCUCAUCUUCCUCGACCGCUACCACAGGUAGCAGGAAACCCGUGGUGGUCUCCCGCUAGGCACCACAUGCCAAAGCUAUUGGAUCACAGUCUGGAGAAAAAAAAAGGAGGAGAAGCGGAGAGCCAGAAAGGAGACGAUCCGCGACUCUUCCGUAUGACAAUAAUAUCUGGGCUCUGCCGGCUUCCUGCCACCAUCUACUUCAGGAGCGACACUCCUUGAAUAUUAAUAUUGGUAACCAGGUUGGAAGAGUUUUGCUGGGUUUAUUUCUCCAGUGUCUAGUUGUAGUGGCGAUGUCAAAGGUAGAUGUGGAGGAGAUGGAAAGGUCAUAUGCCCUUUAGGCUUACAAAAGAAAUGAGCUAGGAUAUUGAAGCUCUUGUGAUUAUCUGAGAAUGAUUAUGUAACUCAGCUUCAUUGCAUUGACAAGUGAGUGUCUCUUUGUUUUGAUACAUAUCAUUGAGUCUUUUGGACAUGAAUAACAUAAGCAAUGUGAUAAAUUUUUUUUAAUU